rnacentral:rRNA from 1 species
CAGUAGCCGCGGUAAUACGUAGGUGGCAAGCGUUGUCCGGAAUUAUUGGGCGUAAAGGGCUCGCAGGCGGUUUCUUAAGUCUGAUGUGAAAGCCCCCGGCUCAACCGGGGAGGGUCAUUGGAAACUGGGAAACUUGAGUGCAGAAGAGGAGAGUGGAAUUCUACGUGUAGCGGUGAAAUGCGUAGAGAUGUGGAGGAACACCAGUGGCGAAGGCGACUCUCUGGUCUGUAACUGACGCUGAGGAGCGAAAGCGUGGGGAGCGAACAGGAUUAGAUACCCCUGUAGUCCCUGUCUCUUAUAC